rnacentral:rRNA from 1 species
CCUACGGGGAGCAGCAGUCGAGAAUCAUUCACAAUGGGGGAAACCCUGAUGGUGCGACGCCGCGUGGGGGAAUGAAGGUCUUCGGAUUGUAAACCCCUGUCAUGUGGGAGCAAAUUAAAAAGAUAGUACCACAAGAGGAAGAGACGGCUAACUCUGUGCCAGCAGCCGCGGUAAUACAGAGGUCUCAAGCGUUGUUCGGAAUCACUGGGCGUAAAGCGUGCGUAGGCUGUUUCGUAAGUCGUGUGUGAAAGGCGCGGGCUCAACCCGCGGACGGCACAUGAUACUGCGAGACGAGAGGAAUGGAGGGGGAACCGGAAUUCUCGGUGUAGCAGUGAAAUGCGUAGAUAUCGAGAGGAACACUCGUGGCGAAGGCGGGUUCCUGGACAUUAACUGACGCUGAGGCACGAAGGCCAGGGGAGCGAAAGGGAUUAGAUACCCCUGUAGUC